AAACCGGGGCUAAUACCGGAUAACUCAGUUCCUCGCAUGAGGAACUGUUGAAAGGUGGCUUUUCGCUACCACUUACAGAUGGACCCGCGGCGCAUUAGCUAGUUGGUGAGGUAACGGCUCACCAAGGCAACGAUGCGUAGCCGACCUGAGAGGGUGAUCGGCCACACUGGGACUGAAACACGGCCCAAACUCCUACGGGAGGCAGCAGUAGGGAAUCUUCCGCAAUGGACGAAAGUCUGACGGAGCAACGCCCCGUGAGUGAAGAAGGUUUUCGGAUCGUAAAACUCUGUUGUUAGGGAAGAACAAGUGCCGUUCGAAUAGGGCGGCACCUUGACGGUACCUAACCAGAAAGCCACGGCUAACUACGUGCCAGCAGCCGCGGUAAUACGUAGGUGGCAAGCGUUGUCCGGAAUUAUUGGGCGUAAAGCGCGCGCAGGUGGUUUCUUAAGUCUGAUGUGAAAGCCCACGGCUCAACCGUGGAGGGUCAUUGGAAACUGGGGAACUUGAGUGCAGAAGAGGAAAGUGGAAUUCCAAGUGUAGCGGUGAAAUGCGUAGAUAUUUGGAGGAACACCAGUGGCGAAGGCGACUUUCUGGUCUGUAACUGACACUGAGGCGCGAAAGCGUGGGGAGCAAACAGGAUUAGAUACCUGGUAGUCCACGCCGUAAACGAUGAGUGCUAAGUGUUAGAGGGUUUCCGCCCUUUAGUGCUGCAGCUAACGCAUUAAGCACUCCGCCUGGGGAGUACGGUCGCAAGACUGAAACUCAAAGGAAUUGACGGGGGCCCGCACAAGCGGUGGAGCAUGUGGUUUAAUUCGAAGCAACGCGAAGAACCUUACCAGGUCUUGACAUCCUCUGACAACCCUAGAGAUAGGGCUUUCCCCUUCGGGGGACAGAGUGACAGGUGGUGCAUGGUUGUCGUCAGCUCGUGUCGUGAGAUGUUGGGUUAAGUCCCGCAACGAGCGCAACCCUUGAUCUUAGUUGCCAGCAUUCAGUUGGGCACUCUAAGAUGACUGCCGGUGACAAACCGGAGGAAGGUGGGGAUGACGUCAAAUCAUCAUGCCCCUUAUGACCUGGGCUACACACGUGCUACAAUGGACGGUACAAAGGGCAGCGAGACCGCGAGGUUUAGCCAAUCCCAUAAAACCGUUCUCAGUUCGGAUUGCAGGCUGCAACUCGCCUGCAUGAAGCUGGAAUCGCUAGUAAUCGCGGAUCAGCAUGCCGCGGUGAAUACGUUCCCGGGCCGU
rnacentral:rRNA from 1 species